UGAGGAAUAUUGGACAAUGGGUGAGAGCCUGAUCCAGCCAUCCCGCGUGAAGGAUGACGGUCCUAUGGAUUGUAAACUUCUUUUGUACAGGGAUAAACCUACUCUCGUGAGGGUAGCUGAAGGUACUGUACGAAUAAGCACCGGCUAACUCCGUGCCAGCAGCCGCGGUAAUACGGAGGGUGCAAGCGUUAUCCGGAUGUAUUGGGUUUAAAGGGUCCGUAGGCGGACUUGUAAGUCAGUGGUGAAAUCUCAUAGCUUAACUAUGAAACUGCCAUUGAUACUGCAGGUCUUGAGUAAAUUUGAAGUGGCUGGAAUAAGUAGUGUAGCGGUGAAAUGCAUAGAUAUUACUUAGAACACCAAUUGCGAAGGCAGGUCACUAAGAUUUAACUGACGCUGAUGGACGAAAGCGUGGGGAGCGAACA
rnacentral:rRNA from 1 species